CCUUAUGAAAUAGUCAAAGAGGCUCUCCAUGCACCAGAACAAUACAAACCAAAGCAGGGGGAGAUUGAUCUUGGUACUGCCUACAAACGGCAUCUUAAUUCUUGUAAAGUGCAGCGUGUGGCAAUAGCUCGGCCUUUGGAGAGACAAGUUAAAAAAGGGAAGUUGGAUACUGUCCCAACCUAUAAAGGUUUCAAGACAUCUGCAUAGUGUACCCUGAGUCAAGUUUUGGUUGGCAGUGUCAGGAUGGCUGCACUGCUCCUCGCUGUGUUCAAGUUAGAAAGAGGCAUUGUGGUGUGACAAGUAAAGGCUCUGUGGCUUGGGAAUCAAAGCACCUGUGCUCAAGUUCCAAUGACACCGGUUUCUACUUGUGCCAUCCUAGGGGUAUGUGUUAGCAGCUCUGAAACUACGUGUAUAAUAAGGUCAAACCAAGAAAAUAUAUUGCAGAUAAUGAAAGCCAGGCUUCUCCCUGUCAGAGAAAGAAGUUGACAAACAAGAAAAAGUUCUCUGAGAGCAAGGGCAAUAUGCCAUUCCCCCAGGAUGCCUGGAUCAGUCAGGGUCACAAGCCUGUCCAGAGCGAUUGUCUCCUUUUCACAGACUAAACAACACCAAGUUGCACCCACAUCAAAGCAGCUAAUCUGAUGUCCCAAGAUACCACAUCCGUUCAGAACGGCCCUGCGGACAAGACCCUGACAAGGUUGGCUCCAUGCGGUCCGGUUUGCACAAUGCUUCGGGGUGGUCACAGUACUUGAGAGGGGUACGUACUAUCACAGGAAGGCCCCAGGCAGUGCCGCUAGGAAGAGAGUUUCUUCCCCGGUUUGCGGCGUCUCUCAGCCACCGUCUUGCAGCUCCUUGUGUGGACACAGUCCACCUUCCGAGACUGGAAGCCCUGACCACAGGCUGACGUACAGGAUCUCCAAGGACCUGCGUGCCAACAUGCGUCCCAAGCCCCCGACGAGCAGUUCCUCCAAAAGGUGGGUCUGAAAUGAGAAAAACAAACAAAAAAGUGGACAACAGGAGAAAGUGGGGUGUCACUUCUUGCUGGGAUCAAGCCUUUUACUGUGCUGUACUUUCCGUAUAGCAAAGGCUUGACAAUUUGGACCUUAUUCAACAGGAAACUCAUCUGCAUUGCUCCUGGCUAACUAAGCAAAGUGGUGGAGGAAUCACAACCUCAGUAGAGGCAAGCAAACCACGUGUUUCCACGAGCCUCCGGCACCACAUCAAGACACGCACCUCAAAAGACACAGUCUCCUGAUGAGCUGGAGCAGAUCGAUUUAGGCAAGGAAGAGAAGAAUGACACAUUUGUUAACAAACUUGGGUAUGAACCUCAGGGGGCGAGAAGUUGAGUUGCUUUGGACAAGAGGGCAGAGACUGAGUACUCUUCAGCCAUCCCUAUGCAGAGAUCAGCUUUUCUACUGAGAACAGUUGAAGAAAUAGUCCAAGAAUACUCAAAGAAGACCUUUGAUAAGAUGCCAAAUUUUUCUAUAAGACAGGGCCAGUGGGAAGUCAGAAGAAGACUAUGUAGCUUCCUAAACAUGAAAGAUGAGAGAGGCACAAGGAGCUAGAGACCAAGGCAGAUGUUGAAACCCAAGAGGCUGGUCAUUGAGGAUGCAGCGAAAGAGUGCAAGCAAUACUCAGGAUGUGGAGGAGGAAGGAAGAGCCAUAGAGUGAGCAUCUUCUAUGACCCAGGCUGCUUAAGUCCUUCACACUAAGCCAAUUAAUCAAAACCUCCCCCAAACAAGAUAACCUACAGACUGGGAGAAAAUACUUGCAGAUGAUGUGACCGACAAAGGCUUGAUCUCCAAGAUAUACAAGCAGCUCAUACAACUCAACAACAACAACAAAAAACAGACAACCCUAUCCAAAAAUGGGCAGAAGACCUAAAUAGACAUAUGUCAGAAGAAGAAAUACAGAUAGCCAAUAGGCACAUGAAAAGAUGCUCAACAUCGCUAAUUAUUAGAGAAAUGCAAAUCAAAACUAUAAUGAGGUACCACCUCACACCAGUCAGGAUGGCCAUCAUUAAAACGUCUACAAAUAACAAAUGCUGGAGAGGGUGCAGAGAAAAGGGAACACUCUUACAUUGUUCAUGGGAAUGUGAGGUGGUGCAGCCAUUGUGGAAGACAGUAUGGCGGUUCCUCAGAAAACUAAAAAUAGAAUUACCAUAUGAUCCAGCAAUCCCACUCCCAGGCAUAUAUCUGGAGAAAACUAUAAUUCAAAAAGAUACAUGCACCCCUAUGUUCAGGGCAUCACUAUUCACAAUAGCCAAGACAUGUAACAACCUAAAUGUCCACUAACAGAUGAAUGGAUAAAGAAGAUGUGGUACCUAUAUACAAUGGAAAACUACACAGCCAUAAGAAAGAAUGAAAUAAUGCCAUUUGCAGCAACAUGGAUGCAACUAGAGAUUAUCAUACUAAGUGAAGUUAAGUCAGAAAGAGAAAGACAAAUACCAUACGAUAUCACUUAUGUGUGAAAUCUAAAAUAUGACACAGAUGAACCUGUUUAUGAAACAGAAACAGAAUCAUGGGCAUAAGAGAAUAGACUGGUGGUUGCCAAGGGGGAGGAGGCUGGGGGAGAGAUGGAGUAGAAGGCUGGGGCGAGCCGAUGUACGUUUUAUAUAUAAUGGGGAGACAGUAAGGUCCUACUGGAUAGCACAGAGAACUAUAUUCAAUACUCUAUGGUAAGCCAUAAUGGAAAAGAAUAUUUUUAAAAAAGAAUGUGUAUAUGUGUAUAACUGAAUCACUUCGUUGUACAGCAGAAAAUAAGACAACAUUGUAAAUCAACUCUACUUCAAUUAAAAAAAAAAACAAACAAA